rnacentral:rRNA from 1 species
UACGGAGGGUGCAAGCGUUAUCAGGAUUCACUGGGUUUAAAGGGUGCGUAGGUGGGCUGGUAAGUCAGUGGUGAAAUCUCCAGGCUUAACUUGGAAACUGCCAUUGAUACUAUCAGUCUUGAAUACCGUGGAGGUCAGCGGAGUAUGCCAUGUAGCGGUGAAAUGCUUAGAUAUGACAUAGAACACCAAUUGCGAAGGCAGCUGGCUACACAAAUAUUGACACUGAGGCACGAAAGCGUGGGGAUCAAACAGG